rnacentral:misc_RNA from 1 species
AGCAGCCGCGGUAAUUCCAGCUCCAAUAGCGUAUAUUAAAGUUGUUGCAGUUAAAAGCUCGUAGUUGAAUUUCGGGAUUGGCGCAUCGGUCGUGCCUCACGGGGUAUGAACUGGUGCAGUCAAUUUCUCACCUUCUGGAGAACCGCGAUGUCCUUAAUUGGAUGCCGCGGGGAACCAGGACCUUUACUUUGAAAAAAUUAGAGUGUUUAAAGCAGGCAUUUUUGCUUGAAUACAUUAGCAUGGAAUAAUAAAAUAGGACGGCAUGGUUCUAUUUUGUUGGUUUCUAGGACCACCGUAAUGAUUAAUAGGGAUAGUUGGGGGCAUUAGUAUUCAAUUGUCAGAGGUGAAAUUCUUGGAUUUAUUGAAGACUAACUACUGCGAAAGCAUUUGCCAAGGAUGUUUUCAUUAAUCAAGAACGAAAGUUAGGGAUCGAAGACGAUCAGAUACCGUCGUAGUCUUAACCAUAAACUAUGCCGACUAGGAAUCAGACG